CAGUCGCCGCGGUAAUGCGUAGGUGGCAAGCGUUGUCCGGAAUUAUUGGGCGUAAAGCGCGCGUAGGCGGUUUUUUAAGUCUGAUGUGAAAGCCCACGGCUCAACCGUGGAGGGUCAUUGGAAACUGGAGAACUUGAGUGCAGAAGAGGAAAGUGGAAUUCCAUGUGUAGCGGUGAAAUGCGCAGAGAUAUGGAGGAACACCAGUGGCGAAAGCGGCUCUCUGGUCUGUCACUGACGCUGAGGCUCGAAAGCGUGGGUAGCGAACAGGAUUAGAUACCCCGGUAGUCCCUGUCUCUUAUAC
rnacentral:rRNA from 1 species